GUUUGUGAACAUAUAUUUUGCAUAUGUAAGCAAAUGAAACACGAGAAGUCUGCUGGAUUAAACCAUGUGUGAUAUGAUGGUUAGAUGGGCGAUGAUGACCACCAAAAUAACUUGUCAGUUAUAUUGUGAUAACGCCCCCUCUCAAUAAUGUGGUCAACAUAACCGAGGGGUACAGUCUCUCAUCCAGGUGAGCAAAGUGUUAUGUGUUGGGUUUAAAGUUACAUUUAUGGAGUCAACAUCACAGAGGAGCAUCACAGAUCAUGAGAAGUCUCUCUGUCCAGUUGCCAAAAUCUCAGCAAGCUUCUGAUGUCCCUUCUACACUGCCAUAUAAAAUCUAGAGAGGUGAGGAUUGUCACCUUGUCAUGGUGAGGGGGCUUAGUUGUUCCAGUUGCUUCAAUUCCUCCAUUUAUAGGUUUUACCAAUAGUGUAGAUACCUCCCUUUGUAUUACUUUUUGGGUGGAACAUAAAAAAACCCUAAUGCCAGCCUUAGUUGGUCUAUUCCAUUUGCCUGCACAGAGGUCUCUUGCUAGACUCCUCCACUUUCUGCAGUAGAGCUACAGAGACUUAGAGGCUUGGGCAUUGUCUGUUAAUCCUAGGCCCAAGCAAUCCAAAACAGGUAUCCUUAGCACCUGCAUUCAACAGUAUUCAUAUACCACCAGUCCCAGAGACAACAGAAGCUUUUGACCAACUUAAGUUUCACAAGAAAGAAGAUUAAGACAGUUUAUAAGCUCCAGUUUGUAAACCAUCGCUGUGCAUCAGAGACAGAAGACUUUGAAUGACUCCAAAGAGAUGACUGCAACAGCAAAAUCUCAUUUUGUAAUUUAUUGUUUUAAGCUAUCUUAUAAUAGUCCCGUGUGGAGAUAACCCUUUAUUCAUCUUGUUUUCAGUAAACUAAUUUGGUUAUCUUUUCACCUUGCCGAAAGUGCCUCUGUAUGUUAAGGGUCUUGAACUUAACAGAAGGUAUACAAAUAGCCCCCAAGUAAAGCCAGAUACUAUAGGUUUUCCCAAAGGCUCGGGUGUCAUGGGACCAAUUCCAAGAGCUGAGUUUGCAAGCUCUUGAAUCGGAGCCAUAACAAAUUACACUCCUCUACAUCUCUCACGGAACACCUGGCAGCGAAGCCUGGGAAACUCAGGAGGGAAACCAAAACAUUUUUGAUGAGUAACUGUUUUGUAGUGAUGAUAUUUACGUGUGAUGUGACGUUGAAACAAAGGUGAUAAAGGUGAUUGUAUGUAAACAUUAUGUCAUUCUCGACUUUGUUCAUGUCGAGUGUUCUUCAAUAAAAAUCCUGUUUGAUAACAGCUACCAGUGGUCUGUCUUCAUGCCAGUCGUUUGAAGUGAGCACGACAUAAAGUCGAGAAUCCAAAUUCUCACCCUCCUGCGGAGCAGCAGUGAAG
rnacentral:lncRNA from 1 species